AACGAACGCUGGCGGCAUGCCUAACACAUGCAAGUCGAACGAUGCCUCCGGGCAUAGUGGCGCACGGGUGCGUAACGCGUGGGAAUCUGCCCUUGGGUUCGGAAUAACUCGCCGAAAGGCGAGCUAAUACCGGAUGAUGACGUAAGUCCAAAGAUUUAUCGCCCAAGGAUGAGCCCGCGUAGGAUUAGCUAGUUGGUGGGGUAAAGGCCCACCAAGGCGACGAUCCUUAGCUGGUCUGAGAGUAUGAUCAGCCACACUGGGACUGAGACACGGCCCAGACUCCUACGGGAGGCAGCAGUGGGGAAUAUUGGACAAUGGGCGAAAGCCUGAUCCAGCAAUGCCGGGUGAGUGAUGAAGGCCUUAGGGUUGUAAAGCUCUUUUACCCGGGAUGAUAAUGACAGUACCGGGAGAAUAAGCUCCGGCUAACUCCGUG
rnacentral:rRNA from 1 species